rnacentral:rRNA from 1 species
GGAAACGUAAGGGGGUGGCUUCCAUCUGGAAGAAUCUGGAGACAGGUGCUGCAUGGCUGUCGUCAGCUCCGUGUCGUGAGAUGUUGGGUUAAGUCCCGCAACGAGCGCAACCCUUGCCUUUAGUUGCCAGCAGUUCGGCUGGGCACUCUAAAGGGACUGCCGGUGUUAAACCGGAGGAAGGUGGGGAUGACGUCAAGUCCUCAUGGCCUUUAUGACCAGGGCUACACACGUACUACAAUGGCCGAUACAAAGGGCAGCGACACUGCGAGGUGAAGCCAAUCCCGUAAAAUCGGUCUCAGUCCGGAUUGGAGUCUGCAACUCGACUCCAUGAAGUUGGAAUCGCUAGUAAUCGUGGAUCAGCAUGCCACGGUGAAUACGUUCCCGGGCCUU